rnacentral:rRNA from 1 species
CAAAAGUCUGAUCCAGCACUUGAGUGUGCAAAAUGACGGUCUUGAGAUUGUAAAGUGUUUUCAGUUGGGAAGAAAGAAAUGACGGUACCAUCGGAAUAAGCCCCGGCUAAAUACGUGCCAGCAGCCGCGGUAACACGUAGGUGGCAAGCGUUAUUCGGAUUUAUUGGGCGUAAAGGGCGUGUAGUGUGGUUUGAUAAGUCUGAUGUGAAAAUGCUGAGCUCAACUCCUUAUUGCGUUGGAAACUGCCAAGGCAGAGUAUACAAGAGGUGGGCGGAAUUCCAAGUGUGGAGGUGAAAUUUGUAGAUAUUUGGAGGAACACCGGGGGAGAAGUCAGCUCUCUGGUCAUAUACUGACACUGAGACGCGAAAGCGCGGGGAGCAAACAGGAUUAGAUACCCUGGUAGUCC